GCGGAGGAAAAGAAACCAACAGGGAUUGCCUCAGUAACGGCGAGUGAAGCGGCAAAAGCUCAAAUUUGAAAUCCCCCGGGAAUUGUAAUUUGAAGAGAUUUGGGUCCGGCCGGCAGGGGUUAAGUCCACUGGAAAGUGGCGCCACAGAGGGUGACAGCCCCGUGAACCCCUUCAACGCCUUCAUCCCAGAUCUCCAAGAGUCGAGUUGUUUGGGAAUGCAGCUCUAAGUGGGUGGUAAAUUCCAUCUAAAGCUAAAUACCGGCGAGAGACCGAUAGCGAACAAGUACAGUGAUGGAAAGAUGAAAAGCACUUUGAAAAGAGAGUGAAAAAGUACGUGAAAUUGUUGAAAGGGAAGGGCUUGCAAGCAGACACUUAACUGGGCCAGCAUCGGGGCGGCGGGGAGCAAAACCACCGGGGAAUGUACCUUUCGAGGAUUAUAACCCCGGCUCCUUA
rnacentral:rRNA from 1 species